CCUACGGGCGGCAGCAGUGAGGAAUAUUGGUCAAUGGGCGCGAGCCUGAACCAGCCAAGUAGCGUGAAGGAUGACUGCCCUACGGGUUGUAAACUUCUUUUUUAAAGGAAUUAAGUGAGGCACGUGUGCCUUUUUGUAUGUACUUUAUGAAUACGGAUCGGCUAACUCCGUGCCAGCAGCCGCGGUAAUACGGAGGAUCCGAGCGUUAUCCGGAUUUAUUGGGUUUAAAGGGUGCGUAGAUGGGUUGUUAAGUCAGUUGUGAAAGUUUUCGGCUCAACCGUAAAAUUGCAAUUGAUACUGGCAGCCUUGAGUACAGUUGAGGUAGGCGGAAUUCGUGGUGUAGCGGUGAAAUGCGUAGAUAUCACGAAGAACACCGAUUGCGAAGGCAGCUUACUAAACUGCCACUGACAUUGAUGCUCGAAAGUGUGGGUAUCAAACAGGAUUAGAUACCCGGGUAGUC
rnacentral:rRNA from 1 species